rnacentral:rRNA from 1 species
AGCGAACGCUGGCGGCAGGUCUAACACAUGCAAGUCGAACGGAUCCUUCGGGAUUAGUGGCGGACGGGUGAGUAACACGUGGGAACGAGCCCUUUGGUUCGGCACAACUCAGGGAAACUUGAGCUAAUACCGGACGUGCCCUUCGGGGGAAAGAUUUAGCGCCAUUGGAGCUGCCCGCGUCUGAUUAGCUAGUUGGUGAGGUAAAGGCUCACCAAGGCGACGAUCAGUAGCUGGUCUGAGAGGAUGAUCAGCCACAUUGGGACUGAGACACGGCCCAAACUCCUACGGGAGGCAGCAGUGGGGAAUCUUGCGCAAUGGGCGAAAGCCUGACGCAGCCAUGCCGCGUGAAUGAUGAAGGUCUUAGGAUUGUAAAAUUCUUUCACCGGGGACGAUAAUGACGGUACCCGGAGAAGAAGCCCCGGCUAACUUCGUGCCAGCCGCCGCAGUAAAAC